GCGCCCAUAGCUCAGUGGAUGAGAGCGUCUGCCUCCGGAGCAGAAGGUCGUGGGUUCGAAUCCCCCUGGGCGCA
rfam:Olsenella sp. An290 An290_contig_5, whole genome shotgun sequence.